rnacentral:snRNA from 1 species
GUGUUUGCUUUGGCAGGACAUAUACUGAAAUUGGAAUGAUAGAAAGAUUUAGCAUGGCCCCUGUGCAAGGAUGACAAGCAAAUUUGUGAAGAGUUUAAAUAUUUA